ACUUAAAUUGAAGAGUUUGAUCAUGGCUCAGAUUGAACGCUGGCGGCAGGCCUAACACAUGCAAGUCGAGCGGCAGCGGGAAAGUAGCUUGCUACUUUUGCCGGCGAGCGGCGGACGGGUGAGUAAUGCCUGGGGAUCUGCCCAGUCGAGGGGGAUAACAGUUGGAAACGACUGC
rnacentral:rRNA from 1 species